rnacentral:rRNA from 1 species
ACACGACGACUCAGCGUAAUUUUUUUUAGAGUUCAAAUCGAAAAAAGAGUUUGCGACCUCGAUGUUGGAUUAAAAUUAAUUUUUGGAGUAGAAGUUAAAAAUUUAGGUCUGUUCGACCUUUAAAAUUUUACAUGAUCUGAGUUUAAACCGGUGUGAGCCAGGUUGGUUUCUAUCUUAAAUAAGAAUUAAUAUUUUAGUACGAAAGGAUUAAAUAUUAAAUUAAAAAUUU